rnacentral:ncRNA from 1 species
AUUGCACGGUGGUAUUACGCAGCUUUCCGCCGCAAGGCGGAUUGAAAAACGAGGUGAAUUGCUGGAAACCUAAAUCCUUUUGGACAAGGCAAUCAGCAGCCAAGUCCCGCCAUCGGCGGGAAAGGUUCAGAGACUAUCUCGAAAGAGAGUAGUCCGACACAAAGUCGGACGAAGCGCCUCGCCCCUGCAAAAUCAGGGUGAUGAUAUAGUCCACCCCCAUAAGAAAUUUUGGG